rnacentral:miRNA from 1 species
GUGUUCUCCCAGUUUCUCCGACAUAGCUUGCAGGGCAUUCUGCGCGCAGUUUACAAAAUACCGUGCGCAGAAUGCCCUGCAAGCUAUGUCGGAGAAACUGGGAGAACUCUGGAAU